rnacentral:rRNA from 1 species
AUUGAACGCUGGCGGCAGGCCUAACACAUGCAAGUCGAGCGGAUGACGGGAGCUUGCUCCCUGAUUCAGCGGCGGACGGGUGAGUAAUGCCUAGGAAUCUGCCUGGUAGUGGGGGACAACGUCUCGAAAGGGACGCUAAUACCGCAUACGUCCUACGGGAGAAAGCAGGGGACCUUCGGGCCUUGCGCUAUCAGAUGAGCCUAGGUCGGAUUAGCUAGUUGGUGAGGUAAUGGCUCACCAAGGCGACGAUCCGUAACUGGUCUGAGAGGAUGAUCAGUCACACUGGAACUGAGACACGGUCCAGACUCCUACGGGAGGCAGCAGUGGGGAAUAUUGGACAAUGGGCGAAAGCCUGAUCCAGCCAUGCCGCGUGUGUGAAGAAGGUCUUCGGAUUGUAAAGCACUUUAAGUUGGGAGGAAGGGUUGUAGAUUAAUACUCUGCAAUUUUGACGUUACCGACAGAAUAAGCACCGGCUAACUCUGUGCCAGCCGCCGCGGUAACAC